rnacentral:tRNA from 1 species
UAAGACUUGUGAGGACUAACUCACAUCUCCUGAAUGCAACUCAAAUGCUUUUAUUAAGCUAAAGCCUU